CCUACGGGGGGCAGCAGUGAGGAAUAUUGGUCAAUGGGCGGGAGCCUGAACCAGCCAAGCCGCGUGAGGGAAGAAGGUACAGCGUAUCGUAAACCUCUUUUGUCAGGGAACAAAGGCGGGGACUAGUCCCCGGAUGAGGGUACCUGAAGAAAAAGCAUCGGCUAACUCCGUGCCAGCAGCCGCGGUAAUACGGAGGAUGCGAGCGUUAUCCGGAUUUAUGGGGGUUAAAGGGUGCGCAGGCGGCCUGUUAAGUCAGCGGUAAAAGCCCGGGGCUCAACCCCGGCGAGCCGUUGAAACUGGCGGGCUGGAGUUGGAGAGAAGUACGCGGAAUGCGCGGUGUAGCGGUGAAAUGCUUAGAUAUCGCGCAGAACCCCGAUUGCGAAGGCAGCGUACCGGCUCCACACUGACGCUGAGGCACGAAAGCGUGGGUAUCGAACAGGAUUAGAUACCCCAGUAGUC
rnacentral:rRNA from 1 species